CAUGCAGUCGAACGAGAACCCGCCUUCGGGCGGGGGACAGUGGCGAAAGGGCGAGUAAUGCACUCCUACGUACCCCAAGGCGGGGGAUAGGUCGUGGAAACGCGGCGUAAUACCCCAUGUGAUCUCCGGAUCAAAGGCUUCGGCCGCCUUGGGAGCAGGGAGCGUCCUAUCAGGUAGUUGGUGAGGUAAAGGCUCACCAAGCCAACGACGGGUAGCGGGUGUGAGAGCAUGGCCCGCCACAUCGGGACUGAGACACUGCCCGGACUCCUACGGGAGGCUGCAGCGACGAAUAUUCCGCAAUGCGCGAAAGCGUGACGGAGCAAUGCCGCGUGCAGGAUGAAGCGGCUUCGCCGUGUAAACUGCUGUCAGGGUGCAGGAAUAUUGACCAUACCCAGAGGAAGGACCGGCUAACCUCGUGCCAGCAGCCGCGGUAAUACGAGGGGUCCAAGCGUUAAUCGGAAUCACUGGGCUUAAAGGGUACGUAGGCGGCCUUGUAAGCAUCUCGUGAAAUCCCACGGCUCAACCGUGGAAUUGCGGGGUGAACUGCAAGGCUUGAGGCAGGUAGAGGUCGUCGGAACGAUCGGUGGAGCGGUGAAAUGCGUUGAUAUCGAUCGGAACGCCGAAGGAGAAGUCAGGCGACUGGGCCUGUCCUGACGCUGAGGUACGAAAGCGUGGGUAGCGAACGGGAUUAGAUACCCCGGUAGUCCACGCCCUAAACGAUGUGCACUAGAUCGUGGGAGCUCUGACUCUUUCUCGGCCGAAGCGAAAGCGUUAAGUGCACCGCCUGGGGAGUACGGUCGCAAGGCUAAAACUCAAAGGAAUUGACGGGGGCUCACACAAGCGGUGGAGCAUGUGGCUUAAUUCGAAGCAACGCGAAGAACCUUAUCCUGGGUUGAACUGCAUGGAUUAGCUUCUAGAAACAGGAGUGACGCCCUUGCGUGGAACGUGCACAGGUGCUGCAUGGCUGUCGUCAGCUCGUGCUGUGAAGUGUCGGGUUAAGUCCCUUAACGAGCGCAACCCUUAUCGCUAGUUGCCAUCAGGUAAUGCUGGGGACUCUAGCGAGACUGCCGGUGUCAAACCGGAGGAAGGUGGGGAUGACGUCAAGUCCUCAUGGCCCUUAUGUCCAGGGAUGCAAACGUGCUACAAUGGCGUGGACAAAGCGACGCAAUCCCGCGAGGGGGAGCAAAUCGCAAAAACCACGCCCCAGUUCGGAUUGCAGGCUGCAACUCGCCUGCAUGAAGUUGGAAUCGCUAGUAAUCGGAGAUCAGCUACGCUCCGGUGAAUACGUUCCUGAGCCUUGUACACACCGCCCGUCAAGUCAUGGAAGCUGGGAGUGCCCGAAGUCGCCGCGUUUCAGGGGUGCCCA
rnacentral:rRNA from 1 species